rnacentral:misc_RNA from 1 species
GAUGAAGAACGUAGCGAAAUGCGAUAAGUAAUGCGAAUUGCAGAAUUCCAGUGAAUCAUCGAAUCUUUGAACGCACAUUGCGCCCGCCAGUAUUCUGGCGGGCAUGCCUGUUCGAGCGUCAUUUCAACCAUCAAGCCCCAGGCUUGUGUUGGGGACCUGCGGCUGCCGCAGGCCCUGAAAACCAGUGGCGGGCUCGCUGUCACACCGGGCGUAGUAGAUUUUAUCUCGCUCAGGGCGUGCUGCGGGUUCCGGCCGUUAAAAAGCCUUUUUUACCCAAGGUUGACCUCGGAUCAGGUAGGAAUACCCGCUGAACUUAAGCAUAUCAAUAAGCGGAGGA